rnacentral:pre_miRNA from 1 species
UGUUAAAAUUUUUAUCUAUUUUUAUUAUAAAAAAUUGGCGUGGCUGACAGAAUAACACGCUAUAUGUAUCUCAUUAUGAUGUACAUGGAUCAAAUUUUAAUAGUAUAAAUUGAUGAUAUUUUUAAUA